AAAUUGAAGAGUUUGAUCAUGGCUCAGAUUGAACGCUGGCGGCAGGCCUAACACAUGCAAGUCGAACGGUAACAGGAAUCAGCUUGCUGAUUUGCUGACGAGUGGCGGACGGGUGAGUAAUGUCUGGGAAACUGCCUGAUGGAGGGGGAUAACUACUGGAAACGGUAGCUAAUACCGCAUAACGUCGCAAGACCAAAGAGGGGGACCUUCGGG
rnacentral:rRNA from 1 species